CCUACGGGGGGCAGCAGUGGGGAAUAUUGCACAAUGGGGGAAACCCUGAUGCAGCGACGCCGCGUGAGCGAGGAAGUACCUCGGUAUGUAAAGCUCUGUCAGCAGGGAAGAAAAUGACAGUACCUGACCAAGAAGCCCCGGCUAACUACGUGCCAGCAGCCGCGGUAAUACGUAGGGGGCAAGCGUUAUCCGGAUUCACUGGGCGUAAAGGGAGCGUAGACGGCAGAGAAAGUCUGAAGUGAAAGCCCGCGGCUCAACCGCGGAACUGCUUUGGAAACUUUUCGGCUAGAGUACCGGAGAGGUAA
rnacentral:rRNA from 1 species